rnacentral:ncRNA from 2 species
UUCUUAUCAAGAAAGGCGGAGGGACUGGCCCAAUGAUGCCUUAGCAACCGGAUGUAAAUCACGGUGCUAAUUCCAGCAGUUAAUUCUGAAAGAUAAGUC